UACGUAGGGUGCAAGCGUUGUCCGGAAUUAUUGGGCGUAAAGAGCUCGUAGGCGGUCUGUCGCGUCUGCUGUGAAAACUCGGGGCUUAACCCCGGGCCUGCAGUGGGUACGGGCAGACUAGAGUGCGGUAGGGGAGACUGGAAUUCCUGGUGUAGCGGUGGAAUGCGUAGAGAUCCGGAAGAACACCGGUGGCGAAGGCGGCCUGCUGGGCAGUAGCUGACACUGAGGCGCGACAGCGUGGGGAGCAAACAGG
rnacentral:rRNA from 1 species